AGCCGCGUCCAACCGCCGCGAGGGCGGAGGGUCCGCUGGGCGCCGGGGUCAGGAGUGAGCCAGCGCUGCUGGGGUUUGGCAGCCUCGACUGGGACCCGGGAGCUGAGGGGUGCGCGCUGGGGCAUCUCCAGGAACUUACCGCGUAGACGCAUAUUAAACCUGAUCCAAAGUCGAUGACUCUCUGGGCUCCGGGUCCGCCUGGCAACUUGCGAAUUCCAGGGCGGGGGAUUCUGAGGACCGGUCCGCGUCUGUGACCGCAUCUGCCCUUGGAGUAGCUUCUGCCACCCCAGCCAGGUUCCAAGGUUCCAUCGGAGGCUUUAGUUAAGGGGCUGGUGCCACGACUUUCAAGACAGGAUUUUCCUUGGAUGUAGUCAAGUUAAGAUGAGAUCAUACUGGUAUAGGUUGGCCCUACUCCAGUACGACUGGUGUCCUUAUAAAAAAAAAAAAGGAGAAACAAAGACGCACAAAGAGGAAAACACCAUGUGAAGACAGAGACAGAGAUUGGAAGGAUGCAUCUGUAAGCCAAAGGAUGUGUAGGGUGGCUGAUAACCACCAGAAACCAGGAAGAGGCCAGGAAGGAUCCUCCCCUAAGGCCUUCAGAGAGAACAUGGAUCUGCCAACACAUGGAUCCUAUGAGCUCCUUCACCAACCAGAAAAGAAGGGGCAGCACUGAGUUUUGUUGCACUUACCCACGCCAGACCCUGGGGUGCAAAAAUGAAGAUUUGAAGAUGCAUGGUUCCUGCCCUCAGGAAGCUUCAAAGGUAGGAUGUGUACAUGAAGCAGGUUUAAACUAUGUAAAGUGACUUUUAUUUCAUGCCAGUCAAUGGUCCUGAGCGUAUGAAGUGGAGAUUCAGCCCACUGAGAAGAACUGCAGAAGAGAAAUCUAACCUUCACUGAGUUCCUACUACGUGCAAGGUACUUGCUUACAAUAUCCCCUUUAAUCCUGUGAGCUAGGUAUUGUUAGCAACAUAAAACUGAGGAACUGAAGUUCAUUUGAAACUUUAAUAUGCAUGUUUUUAUGAAGUUCAGGUGUGAUGGAGAUUUCACAACUAUCUAACCUAAAGUAAGUGGUCAAAAAUAGUUAACUUAGGGAACAUAGAAGCAUAGUUGAGUCUGAGUAUGAUAAUUGGGAAGUGACAAGAAGUGGCGAGCAAGUGAAUAUGGCUUUUGCAACUUAGAGUGUAGUAGGGGAUUGAUUAAACACUGAUUAUAUUCCAAAAAUUAGGGAAAAUACGUUUACAUGAGGGAACUGAAAUGGACUGCUAUGAAACCCUGAUGAUACCUACUUCAUGCUGCAUUAAUCUGGGUGCUGGAUGUGUCUACCUUGACAGGUCAGCAACCUUUUAAAAAAUUCUUUGGAAACAACCUGUUAUUUAAUUGAUCUGUUUAUUUAUGUUUUCUCCUAUUCACUGUUAUUUACUAUUCACCAUGGCUGCCAACUUUUAAACAGGCUUGGUAUAAAUGUUUGUUCCGAAACCUUUGCAGAUAGAUGUGUUUUAUGUAACAGUUAUGGGUCCAUUAACAUGAAGCACUAAAAUACAAAAAGAAACUAAAGAGAUUUAUAAGCAUAUGAAAUGCCCUCACCAGAGACAGCUGAAAUAAUAUAUCCAAAGUCAAAGGAACAUUUGUGAAGUUACUACGAGCAGUUUAUCUACUUCAAAACAUGUUUUGUGGGACAGAGGCAUACUAUAUAUUAUUCUUAAUUUAAAAGGUAAAAUACAAAUUGAUUCUCAUUUACUGAUAACGCUCUCUCACUGUAUUUAAGGACACCCUACUAUAGUAGAAGAGAGAAAUCCCACUGUAAAUACUUCUUUGUCAUUUGCAUUCUUGGUAAUAGAAAUUGCUUUAAUGAUUUUUCUUUAAACCCUGGAAAUUUCAGAAAGCUUAAAUUAUUAGUAUUUUUAAGUGACAUUAAAAGACUUCCAGUAUUCCUGUUUUGCAAAAAUACCCAAUUCUGAGCCCAGUUGCUGGUAGCAACAGUAGUCUACAGGGCAAUUUUUUCUUAGCUGCAGCUUGAGAUAUAAUUAGUAUCUUCAGAAACAAACAUUCCCCCCACACACACCGAAAAAAAAAGUUGGCAAAGUAAAAUGGUGGCAUCUAUCGCCUCGUUAAAACAUCAGAUUGACAAAGUCCAUGUACUACUCUGUUUCAAAAAGUUCCAGCUCUUUUAAACAUUGGCAUUCUUAUCAUUUUGUGCGUUCGUUCGGUGCUGGCCACUGGCUAACAGCGCCUGUGUGGAUUUCUCCUUGAAUAUCUUUUCCUCCAUCAACUGAUAAGCCAGUUGCUCCUAGGAUUUCUGCUCAAGAGCACUGCUCAGGAACGCAAGCUAAUAGUACCUAUUUGAAAUUGUUGUAGAAAACAUUCCUUCUCUUCUUCUGUUUGUUUGUUUCUUUCUCUUUAUAAGGAAAGUAGGUCUAAAGGCUAUUGAGUUUUCAGGUUGAGAUGGCCUGGGCACCAGAGUGGCAGUUUAAUAUACUUUCCUUGGAGAGGAAAGACACUGACAUUGUAAAUCUAGCCUGUAUUUGCUGUCAUAGAACUAAUCCAUGGCCAUAAAAUUACAGUCAAAUAUAAAAUAAACUGCAAGCCACUGUUUUUGCAUCAAUCUAUACAAACUAGCUAUGCAUUAUUUUAGGAGUGAGAACAAAAAUUUUAAGUGCUCCUUAAACAUGAGUUAAAGUUCCUGUAGGUACAAAUUUAUUUUUACAGUAAAAAAUGUUAAAAUUCAGGAAUAUAGAAGGAAAAAAACCCAUUAAAGUCCUAAUUCCCCCAAAUAAAUACUUUUAAUGCUUUGUUGUUUUUCCUGUCAACCUUUUGGUUAUUCUGCUCAUCCAGCUUUGCAUUUUAUUUUUUUCAUUGAAUUCAAUUAAUAUAAUGCUCUCUGGAAUGUCUUCUAUAAUGAUGUGUAAAUUAUGAGUUUAAACCAUGCUUAUGGAAGAUGUAAGAUGGUUUACAGAAAUGCUGAAGUGUUAAGUAGUGUCUCUCUUGCCACUGCAAAAAAAUUGUUCAAAAGAAAAGAUUCUCCAAUCUUGCAAUCACCGCACCAUCGUUUCAAAAGUAGCAACUGAACGUUGAAUUUGAAAAGGAAGUGGGAAAAAGGAAAAAAGCCCAAGCCCAGGUGGGCACGGCUAAAGAGAGCCCGUACCUUUCCUCCGAGUCUCACCUGCUCUAGGCCGAUACCAACUCUUGGCAAAUCUCAGUGCCUCCUUUAUGCUGCUGCCGCCAGCCAGGCCCGGCUUUCAUCCAGACCUCUUAGACUCUCAACAGAUAAGCAUGGCGAGGUCUGGGGAAAGGAAAUAAUCACCAGCAGCGUGGAGGGGAGAGGCCCCUUCCCAUCUCCCUGUGGCUGCUCUGUGCCCAGGCUGCCGGCAGAGGACUUCCAGCAGCGCCACCACUUCGACCUGUUCUCAAGCAUAAGCUGGAUGAAAAUUUUGAAAUAGGCUCAAGAAGUGAGGGUUUUUACCUCUCUUUCUACCAAGGGCACAUCCUAAACUGAUUUGAAUGAUCUGAAAAGCCUCUAAGAUUUCCGUUCAAUGAGGGAACAUGCCAAAGACACUUGAAAACUGUAACAUUUUUA